rnacentral:rRNA from 1 species
AGAGUUUGAUCAUGGCUCAGGACGAACGCUGGCGGCGUGCCUAACACAUGCAAGUCGAGCGGUAAGGCUCCUUCGGGAGUACACGAGCGGCGAACGGGUGAGUAACACGUGAGCAAUCUGCCCUUCACAUCGGGAUAACCCCCGGAAACGGGAGCUAAUACCGGAUACGACCACUUCAGGCAUCUGAUGGUGGUGGAAAGUUCUGGCGGUGAAGGAUGAGCUCGCGGCCUAUCAGCUUGUUGGUGAGGUAAUGGCCCACCAAGGCUUCGACGGGUAGCCGGCCUGAGAGGGUGACCGGCCACACUGGGACUGAGACACGGCCCAGACUCCUACGGGAGGCAGCAGUGGGGAAUAUUGGACAAUGGGCGAAAGCCUGAUCCAGCAACGCCGCGUGAGGGAUGACGGCCUUCGGGUUGUAAACCUCUUUCAGCGCAGACGAAGCGAAAGUGACGGUAUGCGCAGAAGAAGCACCGGCCAACUACGUGCCAGCAGCCGCGGUAAUACGUAGGGUGCGAGCGUUGUCCGGAAUUAUUGGGCGUAAAGGGCUCGUAGGCGGUCUGUUGCGUCAGGAGUGAAAACUCGGGGCUUAACCCCGAGCCUGCUUCUGAUACGGGCAGACUAGAGGUAUGCAGGGAGACGGAAUUCCUGGUGUACGGUGAACAUGCGCAGAUAUCAGGAGGACACGGUGGCGAAGCGGUUCUCUGCAUUACUGACGCUGAGGAGGCGAACAGUGUGGGGAGCGACAGGAUUAGAUACCCUGGUAGUCCCACACGUAACGUUGGGCGCAAGUGUGGGACUCAUUCCACGAGUCCGUGCCGCAGUAACGCAUUAA